rnacentral:rRNA from 1 species
UACAGAGGUCUCAAGCGUUGUUCGGAUUCAUUGGGCGUAAAGGGUGCGUAGGCGGCGCGGUAAGUCGGGUGUGAAAUCUCGGAGCUUAACUCCGAAACUGCAUUCGAUACUGCCGUGCUUGAGGACUGGAGAGGAGACUGGAAUUUACGGUGUAGCGGUGAAAUGCGUAGAUAUCGUCAAGAACACCGAUUGCGAAGGCAGCUAACUAAGCUUUAACUGACGCUGAGGCACGAAAGUGUGGGGAUCAAACAGG